rfam:Schistosoma mansoni strain Puerto Rico chromosome W, complete genome
AUCCAGCUGAUGAAUUCCAAAUAGGACGAAACACACGUUUUGGAU